rnacentral:rRNA from 1 species
GACGUAGGGGGCGAGCGUUAUCCGGAUUCACUGGGCGUAAAGGGCGCGUAGGCGGCCACUGCAAGUCAGUUGUGAAAUCUCCGGGCUUAACCCGGAAAGGUCAACUGAUACUGCAGGGCUAGAGUGCAGAAGGGGCAACUGGAAUUCUCGGUGUAGCGGUGAAAUGCGUAGAUAUCGAGAGGAACACCUGCGGCGAAGGCGGGUUGCUGGGCUGACACUGACGCUGAGGCGCGAAAGCCAGGGGAGCGAACGGG